AGAAGAAAAACAAAAAAUAUAUUUUG
rnacentral:sRNA from 1 species